rnacentral:lncRNA from 1 species
GGCUUUGUAAGGCUUGUUACUACUUCCCUGAGAGAUACCUGCUUUGCCUUCUUCUCUUAUGCAGCACUGCUGAUAUCAGCAGGAGUGCUGAGUUAUUAUAUUUGCAUCCUGCCAGACAAACGUGGGGCUCCCCACAUAGCUCUGCCAGUACCCCCACUCCUGCCUGGAAGAAAGGAAGAAGUUUAGCAUGUUACUAGAUUUUUGUUGUCUUUCUGUUCGCACUUAACUUCAGAGGCAGCCAACUUGACCAUUCAGAGAUGCAAAGCCGAGUCACUAUAUGGUGGUGUUCCCUGCUGUCAUUCACCAUUCCCGAGAGGAGAAGCUCUGUGUCCACCUCAGGUCCCUCCCUGAAGCUGUCCACCUGGCUGUCACCUUGGAGGUGGAAGCCCAGAA